CUUCCGUAGGGGAACCUGCGGAAGGAUCAUUAAAUAAUCAAUAAUUUUGGCUUGUCCAUCAUUAUCUAUUUACUGUGAACUGUAUUAUUACUUGACGCUUGAGGGAUGUUCCAUUGCUAUAAGGAUAGGCAUUGGAAAUGUUAACCGAGUCAUAAUCAAGCUUAGGCUUGGUAUCCUAUUAUUAUUUACCAAAAGAAUUCAGAAUUAAUAUUGUAACAUAGACGUAAAAAAUCUAUAAAACAACUUUUAACAACGGAUCUCUUGGUUCUCGCAUCGAUGAAGAACGUAGCAAAGUGCGAUAACUAGUGUGAAUUGCAUAUUCAGUGAAUCAUCGAGUCUUUGAACGCAACUUGCGCUCAUUGGUAUUCCAAUGAGCACGCCUGUUUCAGUAUCAAAACAAACCCUCUAUCCAACUUUUGUUGAAUAGGAUGACUGAGAGUCUCCUGAUCUAUUCUGAUCUCGAACCUCUUGAAAUGUACAAAGGCCUGAUCUUGUUUGAAUGCCUGAACUUUUUUUUAAUAUAAAGAGAAGCUCUUGCGAUAAAACUGUGCUGGGGCCUCCCAAAUAACACAUCUUUAAAUUUGAUCUGAAAUCAGGUGGGAUUGCCCUGCUGGGGAACUUAAGCAUAUCAAUAAGCCGGAGGAA
rnacentral:rRNA from 1 species